rnacentral:rRNA from 1 species
UGGGGAAUAUUGCACAAUGGGCGCAAGCCUGAUGCAGCCAUGCUGCGUGUGUGAAGAAGGCCUUCGGGUUGUAAAGCACUUUCAGCGGGGAGGAAGGCGUUAAGGUUAAUAACCUUGGCGAUUGACGUUACCCGCAGAAGAAGCACCGGCUAACUCCGUGCCAGCAGCCGCGGUAAUACGGAGGGUGCAAGCGUUAAUCGGAAUUACUGGGCGUAAAGCGCACGCAGGCGGUCUGUCAAGUCGGAUGUGAAAUCCCCGGGCUCAACCUGGGAACUGCAUUCGAAACUGGCAGGCUAGAGUCUUGUAGAGGGGGGUAGAAUUCCAGGUGUAGCGGUGAAAUGCGUAGAGAUCUGGAGGAAUACCGGUGGCGAAGGCGGCCCCCUGGACAAAGACUGACGCUCAGGUGCGAAAGCGUGGGGAGCAAACAGG